GCCUGGAUGGCUCAGUAGG
rnacentral:misc_RNA from 1 species